ACCAGGUGCAGGACGAGGCACGGCCGUGGAUCGGCAAGGAGGAGCGCGCCUUCACCGCCAUGCUCAGGCAGCUGGGCGCCAAUGUGAGUACCAGGUGCAGGACGAGGCACGGCCGUGGAUCGGCAAGGAGGAGCGCGCCUUCACCGCCAUGCUCAGGCAGCUGGGCGCCAAUGUGAGUACCAGGUGCAGGACGAGGCACGGCCGUGGAUCGGCAAGGAGGAGCGCGCCUUCACCGCCAUGCUCAGGCAGCUGGGCGCCAAUGUGAGUACCAGGUGCAGGACGAGGCACGGCCGUGGAUCGGCAAGGAGGAGCGCGCCUUCACCGCCAUGCUCAGGCAGCUGGGCGCCAUUGUGAGUACCAGGUGCAGGACGAGGCACGGCCGUGGAUCGGCAAGGAGGAGCGCGCCUUCACCGCCAUGCUCAGGCAGCUGGGCGCCAAUGUCCACCGCUACCUGCACUCGGAUGGUACACCGGUGUCGCUGCUGACGCACUUCAACGUGCUCGGCCACGUGCGCGCCCCGCAAGACUCCGACACCGACGAGACCACCAAAUGAAACAUACCUUACAAACCUUGGUUGCUUAAAGCACAGAGACAUUAUGAAGCAUUUACAAAGAGCGCUAGGUCACCAGAGGCGGCUUUAGGCGUGGGCGACGUGGGCCUCCGCCUACGGCCUCGCGCCUCAAAUAAGUAUAAUAUCUCGGACACAACGUAAAAAUGUUAGUUAUUUCUUGCGCCACCAGAGGCCUCGCUAAAUGUACCUUGCCCACAUAAAAUUUUGCUCUUGCCCCGCCACUGUAGGUCACUACACAUACGUGCAAUUUUACUUGUAAAAUGCUACAACAUCAAAUCAAAUCGAUUUCAGCAGCACAUCUGAGUUAUAUUCUAGACUAUUACUAUAACAACCCAGGUACCUCUCUAACUUAAUGUUUAACAAGCAGAAACAUCUGAGAACGAUGUUAUUAAGCUUAGAAUAAAUAUAAAAGUGGAAAAAAUACUGUCUUUGGUGAGACUUGAACUCACGGGAUCUGAAUCGAUACUCCAGCGCUCUGCCAUCUGAGCCACCAAGACCUCAUCCCUAGGCAGCAAAUUUUUCGAACAUAUGGGUCUAGGGGACCCUAGCGACAUCUACCGUAAGAACGUUACACUUCUUAGACGGCUACCGGAGUUCCAAGUCAUAUUGGAAAUCACCAGUAACGAUGUGCUACCCAUACAUAAAUUUACCUCGCUUAAGUUUGAUCUUUGCUAAUAUUCAUUUACACAAGUACUGGUUGUAAUAAUGGCGCAACUGAUACAGCGGAACACUUGUAUGUUGACCUAGAUUGUUUUAUGUAGUCUGUCUAAUUGUUUAUACGUGUUCUGUGGCUUAAAAGAUAGGGACCGUGCGUGUUGGAGGGUCACGUGUUUUCUUGUGCAUAGUAGGUUCUGCCAUCUUGUGGGCUACAUCGGAACAAUAAACAUCAAAUUUACGCCUCGCGCCAAAAAUCUGACGGCUCCUGUGCUGCCUCCUACAGUUCAUGCACGCUCCCUAUCGGCACCCGCGCGUGUACAAUAUACCUAACUCGAUUUUAGAUGAGCGCUCAAAGCGUGGCCGUUCGACGUUCACACUCGCUUGACACUGUCGUUACCACGCCCAAAAAGUUUGUGGAUUUAGCACGCGUAACCUUUGUCGUAAUUAUUUCCGUUUUUUUUUUGUAUAAAAAAAGACGGAUCCGCUUAGUACAAAAUAUUUACCUCUACCUAAAUUGUGUGUUGUUAUUAUACGUAUGUUUAAAUAAUAAUUUUAUUUUAAUCGAGGUGUGAUAAGAGAAUAUAUUAUAAAGAAUGUUUGUAUUUUAAAGUUCUAAAACCGCCUAAAUGAAACAUAGAUGACGAGUACAUUUAAUUGUACACUACUUGACCUGUUAACAAGGCGGACUAACUUGAUUAUUUAUAUUUUACGGAUAGUUUCCACGGAAAGAGAGGUCGUGGAUGAACCAAUACAUUAUAUGACUCCUCUUUCCGCACAGACCCGACUCGUUUAAACAAAAAAAAAAAAACUUUUUUUAAAGAAAAAAAUAAAAUGACUUUCCAUAAUUAUACCACAGAUUAAAAUCUAAAAAUUCUAAAAGGAUGACAAAUUGAACGUAAUUUAGGUAAAAGGAUCCAAUCUACAAAAAUCUGUCAAUCCAAUUUGAACUUUCUAUCACAAGGAAAAGUCAAUCAUUUAAAUGUCAAAUUUUAGAGGAUUGAUCCUAUGGAAGGUGGAGGUAAGGAAUACAAUCUCCAUAGGCAGAACCGUUGCUACUGUCCAGUUGUCAGCUAUAAAUAAUAGUUCCAAAACUCUCCAGAGUAGCGCUAGAGUAGCUAAGAACCUAGGCGUUAUUGACGGAGUGAAAAGCGCUGUUUAUGAUAUGAUUUUUUUUUUCAGAUAUUCUAGGUAUUGUAGCGCCACCUAUUUAAGGUUUUUUGACGGACACUUUUGGUAUAUGGAGAUUGCAUUCCUUACCUCCACCUUAUCCAUUAUUACCUAACUAUUAAUUGAUUUUGUGACAGGUUUGUAAAUCAAACCCAACUCAGAAUUACCGAUUCUCAUACGUAUAUAUGUAUAAGAAAUAAUUAACAUUUUAUCAAUUAAGAUCAGGUCACGAAGCUCAUUCAAUGUGACAAUUAAUGCUUUUAGGAGCAAAUUGAUUCUAUCGUUAAAAUUAUUUGCAAUACGGUAAUAUCAACGAUUGCCUCCAUCCCAUUUUACUGGCACGGUAAGCAUUGACUAGUAGAUUGUGUCACAAGGGAGCAAAAUUACAUAAUAUUAACGGCGAUUCAAGUGUUUUAAGCCCAAGGUGGACACAAUUUUGCUAUCAUGUGAUGUGGCAAAUACUGCAUUUCACAAUACCUAAGGGGAUAUUAUUACGUUUUAAAAUAUUAUUUAAGCUAAAAAAUAGUACGCACUAAAAAUAGUGUCCUAGAACAGAAAAGUGCCACUUUAAUCCUUCCUAGUAGGGUUGCCAUCUCUAAAAUUUGGAAACCAGGACAAGACGCGUGAAAACCCCGGAUUUUGGAGUCCAGAACCCGGACAUGUCAACAGGUUUUUUUAAAAAGGUUGUGCAUGUGUCGCGGGCGGCCUAGGGAUUUAAAACUGUUAACCCGGACUACAAAUGAAGUCCUGCCCGGACGCCCUCUAAACUAGGACAAAUCCGGGGAAACCCGGACGGAUGGCAACAGUACUUCCUAGCAGGGAAGAAAACCCCUUUUUCCGAAUAAGGUGAUGUGAGAAAUAUAUAGAGAUUGUUGUAAUGCUAAUGUGUAGAAAAACAAACUAGCUGAUCAGUGUACUGUAAGCAAUAAAAAAUUACUCGUAUAAUAAACUUAGUUCGACAACAGGCAGAAACCUGUUUCUCCUGCCGGACAUUAUUUCUAAUAGGUUUCUAACAACGGUCACCGGCUGUCAGUUAUCAACAUAGUUAAUAGCAUAACCGCACAAUUCAUAUUUUAGGGAAAAUCUUUUGCGACAUGUUGUAAAUAUGAUUUAUGUUGGCAUUGAUCUCAUCAAGUAUUAAAUGUAUUUUCAUUGUGAAUAUAAGUAAUAUUUUCACUCAUACAA